UACAGAGGUCUCAAGCGUUGUUCGGAUUCAUUGGGCGUAAAGGGUGCGUAGGUGGCGCCGUAAGUCAGGUGUGAAAUUUCGGAGCUUAACUCCGAAGCUGCAUUUGAUACUGCGAUGCUUGAGGACUGGAGAGGAGACUGGAAUUCACGGUGUAGCAGUGAAAUGCGUAGAUAUCGUGAGGAAGACCAGUGGCGAAGGCGGGUCUCUGGACAGUUCCUGACACUGAGGCACGAAGGCCAGGGGAGCAAACGGG
rnacentral:rRNA from 1 species